rnacentral:rRNA from 2 species
AGACCCGAAACCCGGUGAUCUAGCCAUGGGCAGGUUGAAGGUUGGGUAACACUAACUGGAGGACCGAACCGACUAAUGUUGAAAAAUUAGCGGAUGACCUGUGGCUGGGGGUGAAAGGCCAAUCAAACCGGGAGAUAGCUGGUUCUCCCCGAAAGCUAUUUAGGUAGCGCCUCGUGAAUUCAUCUCCGGGGGUAGAGCACUGUUUCGGCUAGGGGGCCAUCCCGGCUUACCAACCCGAUGCAAACUGCGAAUACCGGAGAAUGUUAUCACGGGAGACACACGGCGGGUGCUAACGUCCGUCGUGAAGAGGGAAACAACCCAGACCGCCAGCUAAGGUCCCAAAGUCAUGGUUAAGUGGGAAACGAUGUGGGAAGGCCCAGACAGCCAGGAUGUUGGCUUAGAAGCAGCCAUCAUUUAAAGAAAGCGUAAUAGCUCACUGGUCGAGUCGGCCUGCGCGGAAGAUGUAACGGGGCUAAACCAUGCACCGAAGCUGCGGCAGCGACACUCAGGUGUUGUUGGGUAGGGGAGCGUUCUGUAAGCCUGUGAAGGUGGCCUG